GAAAAAGCCCGCGGCGUCUUCUCUGUCCCCUGCGCUCGGCUCCCUGCUCGGUCGGGCUGGAACCUGUACUGGCAGCCGGAGGUGUAGGUAGGAACCGGAAUACCUCGGAAGCCGGGAAAUGAUGGAGUUUCAUUCUUGUUGCCCAGGCUGGAGUGCAAUGGCGCGAUCUCAGCUCACCACAACCUCUGCCUCCCACAUUCAAGCGAUUCUCCUGCCUCAGCCUCCCGAGUAGCUGGGAUUAAAGUGUGGUGUGUUGAAUAUUAUAGUUUCAAAAUCCUUCAUGUGUGUUAGGACUCAAUGAUCUUUGAGGAUGUGGCUGUGAACUUUACCCAGGAGGAGUGGGCUUUGCUGGAUCCGUCCCAGAAGAAACUCUACAGAGAUGUGAUGUGGGAAAUCAUCAGGAACCUGAUGUCUGUAGGAAUAAAAUGGGAAGACCGGAACAUUGAAGAUCAGUACAAAAAUUCCAGGAGAAAUCCAAGAAAUCAUAUGGCAGAGAGACUCUGUGAAUGUAAAGAUGGUCAAUGUGGAGAAACUUUCAGCCUGAUUCCAGAUGGUAUAAUGAACAAGAACACUCUUCCUGGGGUAAAACCAUGUGAAAGCAGUGUGUGUGGAGAAGGCAACGUGGAUCAUUCAUCUCUGAAUUGCUACAUCAGAGCUGACACUGGACACAAACCGUAUGAGUGUCAGGAACAUGGAGAGAAGCCACAUAAAUGUAAGCAGUGUGUAAAAACCUUCAGCUGCCUCCACUCCUUCCAAACACAUGAAAAGCCUCACACUGGAGAGAAACCCUAUGAUUGUAAGGAAUGGGAAAAAACCUUCGAUUCUCCCCAAACCGUUCGAAGAUACAGGGUAGCACAUAGUGGAGAUGGACCUUAUAAAUGUUGAAGAAUUUGUGACCGUGGAUAAGUUCGUUUCCUGUUAUGUGAACUUGGCAGAUUAAUGCUAAAUCCUGUGGGACAGCAUUUAGCAACACCUAAAAAACAUGAUAAAGAAAUACCUGAGACUGGGUAAUUUAUAAAGAAAAGAGGUUGAAUUGGCCCAUGAUUCUGCAGACUGCACAGGAAGCAUGGUACUGGAAGGAUGGCAUCUGCUCAGCUUCUAGGGAGGCCUCAGGAAACUGACAAUCAUGGUGGAAGGCAAAGGGGGAGCAGCAGUUCACAUGGCCAGAGAAGGAGCAAGAGAGAACAGGGCAAGGUGCCACAGACUUUUAAAUGACCGGUUCUCACAAGAACUUACUAUCACAAGACCAGCACCACAGGGAUAGUGCUAAACCAUUCAUGAAGGACCACCAUCCAAUCACCUCCCACAAGGCCCCACCUUCAAUAUUGGGAAUUACAAUUCGACAUGAGAUUUGGGUGGAGAUUCAAAUCCAAACCAUGUCCUUUUGCUUUUUCUGUUUUGUUUGUGGAGUAGAUUUUUCUCCAUCCCUUUACUUCGAGCCUAAGGGUGUCAUUGCAUGUGAGAUGGGUCUCUUGAAGACAGCAUACCAUUGGAUCUUGCUUUUUUAUCCAGGUUGCCACUGUGCCUUUUAAUUGGGGCAUUUAGCCUGCUUACAUUCAAGGACUCAGUGACCUUUGAGGAUGUGGCUGUGAACUUCACCCAGGAGGAGUGGGCUUUGCUGGGUCCUUCCCAGAAGAACCUCUACAGAGAUGUGAUGUGGGAAACCUUCAGGAACCUGAUGUCUGUAGAAGUCAUAUGGUAGAGAGAGUCUGAAGGUAAGGAAGAUGGUCAAUGUGAAGAGAUCUUCAGCCUUGUUCCAAAUGGUAUAGUGAAGAUGACUUUUACUGGAGUCAAAUCAUGUGAAAGCAGUGUGUGUGAAGAAGGCAAUAUGGAUCAUUCAUCUCUUAAUUGCUGCAUCAGAGCUGACACUGGACACAAAUCAGAUGAGUGUCAGGAACAUAGAAGCCACAUAAGCAGUGUGUGAAAAAAAUCAGAUGAGUGUCAGGAACAUAGAAGCCACAUAAGCAGUGUGUGAAAACCUUCAGCUAUUGCCACUCCUUUCAAACACAUGAAAGGCCUCACACUGGAAAGAAACUCCAUGUAAGAAAUGUGGAAAAACCUUCAUUUCUGUUCAAACCUUUUGAAGAUACAUGGUAAUGCACAGUGAAGAUGAACCUUAUAAAUGUAAGUUUUGUGGGAAGGCCUUUGAUAAUCUACAUUUAUAUCUUACACAUGAAAGAACUCACACUGGAGAGAAACCCUAUGAAUGUAAUAAAUGUGGGAAAGCCUUCAGUUGUUCCAGUUCCAUUCGAAAACAUGCAAGAAUUCACACCGGAGAGAAACCCUAUAUAUGUAAACAAUGUGGCAAAGCCUUUAGAUAUUCCAGUUCUAUUUGAAAUCAUGAAAACACUCACACUGGUGAAAAACCCUGUGAAUGUAAGCAAUGUGGGAAAGCCUUUAGUUAUUCCAGUUACUUUCGAAUACAUGAAAGAAUUCACACUGGAGAGCAGGUGUAUAAAUGUAAGGAAUGUGGAAAAACAUUCACUUAUCCCAGUGCCUUUCAUAAACAUAAAAGUACCCACACUUCACAGAAACUUUAUGAAUGUAAGGAAUGUGGGAAAGCAUUUGAUUGUUUUAGUUCCUUUCAUAGUCAUGAAGGGGUUCACACUGGAGAGAAACCCUAUGAAUGCAGAACGUGGAAAAGCCUUCAGUAGUUCUAAGUACUUAAAAAUACAUGGAAGAACUCACACUGGAGAGAAGUCCUAUGCAGUAAAGAAUGAGGGAAAGUAUUUUAUUGUCUCAGUCCCCUUAAAAACAUGAAAGGACUCACAUCAGAGAAAAGUUGUAUGAAUGUAAAAAAUGUGAUAAAGGCUUCCAUUUGUCCAGUACUGUUAGAAACCAUGAAAGAAGUCACAUUUAAGAAAAACACAGUGAUGUUAGGAAUAUGGGGAAGCUUUCCUUUCUCUUCCAGUCUUUUGAAGGCACAGGGUAUGACACACUGGUGACCUUAUAACUGUAAGGAGUGUGGAUAAGUAUUUAUUAGUCCUUGUGUGUUUUAGAUACAUGAAAGAAUUUACUCUAGAAGGAAACUCUAUGAAUGUAAAGAAUGUGGUAAAACCUGUGUAGUUUCAGUUUCUCUUGAAUAAAGUCAUUUCCUGGUAUUCUCAGGGGAUUGGUUCCAGCACCCCUUGAGAAUAUAUAAUUUUGCUCAAGUGCUUUAUAGAAAAGUGUAUUUGCCUAUAACUAGGCAAUCCUGUAUACUUUAAAUCAUCUCUAGAUUACUUAUAAUACCUAAUGCAUUGUAAAUGCUAUGAAGACAACUGUUUUAUUGUAUUUAGGGAAGUAUGACAAGAAAAAACAUCUGUACAUAUUCAGUACAGACACAACCACCAUACGGCUACCUACCUAGUACACAUCAUCUACAAUAUAACAUUUUCUUUUUAAAAAACAGUUAUGGAUUGGUUUCAUUAAAUGACCUGCAAGCGUGUGUUAA
rnacentral:lncRNA from 1 species